rnacentral:rRNA from 1 species
UACGUAGGGGGCAAGCGUUGUCCGGAAUUAUUGGGCGUAAAGAGCGUGUAGGCGGUCCGGUAAGUCAGCUGUGAAAGUCAAGGGCUCAACCCUUGAAUGCCGGUUGAUACUGUCGGGCUAGAGUCCGGAAGAGGCGAGUGGAAUUCCCGGUGUAGCGGUGAAAUGCGCAGAUAUCGGGAGGUACACCAAUGGCGAAGGCAGCUCGCUGGGACGGUACUGACGCUGAGACGCGAAAGCGUGGGGAGCAAACAGG